CUGGAGGUAUCAGAAGUGCGAAUGCUGACAUAAGUAACGAUAAAGCGGGUGAAAAGCCCGCUCGCCGGAAGACCAAGGGUUCCUGUCCAACGUUAAUCGGGGCAGGGUGAGUCGACCCCUAAGGCGAGGCCGAAAGGCGUAGUCGAUGGGAAACAGGUUAAUAUUCCUGUACUUGGUGUUACUGCGAAGGGGGGACGGAGAAGGCUAUGUUGGCCGGGCGACGGUUGUCCCGGUUUAAGCGUGUAGGCUGGUUUUCCAGGCAAAUCCGGAAAAUCAAGGCUGAGGCGUGAUGACGAGGCACUACGGUGCUGAAGCAACAAAUGCCCUGCUUCCAGGAAAAGCCUCUAAGCAUCAGGUAACAUCAAAUCGUACCCCAAACCGACACAGGUGGUCAGGUAGAGAAUACCAAGGCGCUUGAGAGAACUCGGGUGAAGGAACUAGGCAAAAUGGUGCCGUAACUUCGGGAGAAGGCACGCUGAUAUGUAGGUGAAGUCCCUUGCGGAUGG
rnacentral:rRNA from 1 species